CAACCCCAGGUCAGGCAGGAUUACCCGUUGAAUUUAAGCAUAUCAAUAAGCGAAGAAAAAGAAUUACAAGGAUUCCCCAAGUAACGGCGAGUGAACUAGGAAGAGCCCAGG
rnacentral:rRNA from 1 species